AACGAACGCUGGCGGCAUGCCUAACACAUGCCAGUCGAACGAGCCCUUCGGGUCUAGUGGCGCACGGGUGCGUAACGCGUGGGAACCUGCCCUUAUGUUCGGAAUAACUCUCCGACAGGGGUGCCAAUACCGGAUAAUGGCUACUGACCAAAGAUUUAUCGACUUUGGAUGGGCACGCGUUGGAUUAGCUAGUUGGUAGGGUAAAAGACUACCAAGGCGACGAUCCAUAGCUGGUCUGAGAGGAUGAUCAGCCACACUGGGACUGAGACACGGCCCAGACUCCUACGGGAGGCAGCAGUGGGGAAUAUUGGACCAUGGGCGAAAGCAUGAUCCAGCAAUGCCGCGUGAGUGAUGAAGGCCUUAGGGUUGUAAAGCUCUUGUACCCGGGAUGAUAAUGACAGUACCGGGAGAAUAAGCUCCGGCUAACUCCGUG
rnacentral:rRNA from 1 species